rnacentral:rRNA from 1 species
UUAAGCGACUAAGCGUACACGGUGGAUGCCCUGGCAGUCAGAGGCGAUGAAGGACGUGCUAAUCUGCGAUAAGCGUCGGUAAGGUGAUAUGAACCGUUAUAACCGGCGAUUUCCGAAUGGGGAAACCCAGUGUGUUUCGACACACUAUCAUUAACUGAAUCCAUAGGUUAAUGAGGCGAACCGGGGGAACUGAAACAUCUAAGUACCCCGAGGAAAAGAAAUCAACCGAGAUUCCCCCAGUAGCGGCGAGCGAACGGGGAGCAGCCCAAUCAGUGUGUGUUAGUGGAAGCGUCUGGAAAGGCGCGCGAUACAGGGUGACAGCCCCGUACACAAAAAUGCACAUGCUGUGAGCUCGAUGAGUAGGGCGGGACACGUGGUAUCCUGUCUGAAUAUGGGGGGACCAUCCUCCAAGGCUAAAUACUCCUGACUGACCGAUAGUGAACCAGUACCGUGAGGGAAAGGCGAAAAGAACCCCGGCGAGGGGAGUGAAAAAGAACCUGAAACCGUGUACGUACAAGCAGUGGGAGCACGCUUAGGCGUGUGACUGCGUACCUUUUGUAUAAUGGGUCAGCGACUUAUAUUCUGUAGCAAGGUUAACCGAAUAGGGGAGCCGAAGGGAAACCGAGUCUUAACUGGGCGUUAAGUUGCAGGGUAUAGACCCGAAACCCGGUGAUCUAGCCAUGGGCAGGUUGAAGGUUGGGUAACACUAACUGGAGGACCGAACCGACUAAUGUUGAAAAAUUAGCGGAUGACUUGUGGCUGGGGGUGAAAGGCCAAUCAAACCGGGAGAUAGCUGGUUCUCCCCGAAAGCUAUUUAGGUAGCGCCUCGUGAAUUCAUCUCCGGGGGUAGAGCACUGUUUCGGCAAGGGGGUCAUCCCGACUUACCAACCCGAUGCAAACUGCGAAUACCGGAGAAUGUUAUCACGGGAGACACACGGCGGGUGCUAACGUCCGUCGUGAAGAGGGAAACAACCCAGACCGCCAGCUAAGGUCCCAAAGUCAUGGUUAAGUGGGAAACGAUGUGGGAAGGCCCAGACAGCCAGGAUGUUGGCUUAGAAGCAGCCAUCAUUUAAAGAAAGCGUAAUAGCUCACUGGUCGAGUCGGCCUGCGCGGAAGAUGUAACGGGGCUAAACCAUGCACCGAAGCUGCGGCAGCGACACUAUGUGUUGUUGGGUAGGGGAGCGUUCUGUAAGCCUGUGAAGGUGUGCUGUGAGGCAUGCUGGAGGUAUCAGAAGUGCGAAUGCUGACAUAAGUAACGAUAAAGCGGGUGAAAAGCCCGCUCGCCGGAAGACCAAGGGUUCCUGUCCAACGUUAAUCGGGGCAGGGUGAGUCGACCCCUAAGGCGAGGCCGAAAGGCGUAGUCGAUGGGAAACAGGUUAAUAUUCCUGUACUUGGUGUUACUGCGAAGGGGGGACGGAGAAGGCUAUGUUGGCCGGGCGACGGUUGUCCCGGUUUAAGCGUGUAGGCUGGUUUUCCAGGCAAAUCCGGAAAAUCAAGGCUGAGGCGUGAUGACGAGGCACUACGGUGCUGAAGCAACAAAUGCCCUGCUUCCAGGAAAAGCCUCUAAGCAUCAGGUAACAUCAAAUCGUACCCCAAACCGACACAGGUGGUCAGGUAGAGAAUACCAAGGCGCUUGAGAGAACUCGGGUGAAGGAACUAGGCAAAAUGGUGCCGUAACUUCGGGAGAAGGCACGCUGAUAUGUAGGUGAAGUCCCUCGCGGAUGGAGCUGAAAUCAGUCGAAGAUACCAGCUGGCUGCAACUGUUUAUUAAAAACACAGCACUGUGCAAACACGAAAGUGGACGUAUACGGUGUGACGCCUGCCCGGUGCCGGAAGGUUAAUUGAUGGGGUUAGCCGCAAGGCGAAGCUCUUGAUCGAAGCCCCGGUAAACGGCGGCCGUAACUAUAACGGUCCUAAGGUAGCGAAAUUCCUUGUCGGGUAAGUUCCGACCUGCACGAAUGGCGUAAUGAUGGCCAGGCUGUCUCCACCCGAGACUCAGUGAAAUUGAACUCGCUGUGAAGAUGCAGUGUACCCGCGGCAAGACGGAAAGACCCCGUGAACCUUUACUAUAGCUUGACACUGAACAUUGAGCCUUGAUGUGUAGGAUAGGUGGGAGGCUUAGAAGUGUGGACGCCAGUCUGCAUGGAGCCGACCUUGAAAUACCACCCUUUAAUGUUUGAUGUUCUAACGUUGACCCGUAAUCCGGGUUGCGGACAGUGUCUGGUGGGUAGUUUGACUGGGGCGGUCUCCUCCUAAAGAGUAACGGAGGAGCACGAAGGUUGGCUAAUCCUGGUCGGACAUCAGGAGGUUAGUGCAAUGGCAUAAGCCAGCUUGACUGCGAGCGUGACGGCGCGAGCAGGUGCGAAAGCAGGUCAUAGUGAUCCGGUGGUUCUGAAUGGAAGGGCCAUCGCUCAACGGAUAAAAGGUACUCCGGGGAUAACAGGCUGAUACCGCCCAAGAGUUCAUAUCGACGGCGGUGUUUGGCACCUCGAUGUCGGCUCAUCACAUCCUGGGGCUGAAGUAGGUCCCAAGGGUAUGGCUGUUCGCCAUUUAAAGUGGUACGCGAGCUGGGUUUAGAACGUCGUGAGACAGUUCGGUCCCUAUCUGCCGUGGGCGCUGGAGAACUGAGGGGGGCUGCUCCUAGUACGAGAGGACCGGAGUGGACGCAUCACUGGUGUUCGGGUUGUCAUGCCAAUGGCACUGCCCGGUAGCUAAAUGCGGAAGAGAUAAGUGCUGAAAGCAUCUAAGCACGAAACUUGCCCCGAGAUGAGUUCUCCCUGAC